rnacentral:lncRNA from 10 species
CUACAAUAAGGAUUCAGAGAAGGGGGACAAUUUAAAGCUAGCAUUUUUCAAAGAAGAGUCUGAAGAAAAAAUGCUAUUCAUGCAGGGUUGUGAAAUCUGGAUUGGGUUUGAAUAGUUGAGAUGAAGAAGGGAGCUAUUAAAGCUGAAAAGAGUAAAGAAGCAAAGGUGAGUAGACGUCAACGAGUAACAGUGAAGACCUAGCCGUGCCUGGAGUAAAUUAAGGUGAUCUAUGUCUCCGGCUUUCCAAGCCAGCAGCAAAUAAUCCCAAAGGAGGUAAACAUCUAAAAGAAAGGAAUGAAAACAGGUUUUAUUUAUAAAUGCCUCACUGUUGGAACCUGCAUGAAUGAAAGCUGAAUCUCAAAGAUCAGACACGUUGGACUUGGAAUAAUGUCCAUGUUAUGAUUCCAAUCUGUGCCUAAAUCUGAACCACUCAGUUCUUCAUGCUUGUUGGAAUCCUCCUAAAAUUGGAAUUUCCUGGGAGAUAUCCAGUACUUUUUGGGCUGUAAACAGCAAAACAAACAGCCUUUCUUGUAAUAUGCUACGUCUAGUGCUAACUGAAUUCAAGAAGUUUAUGAGUGUGGGGAAAGUAACUUGAUGUCUUUGCAAACUUACAAAUUUGCUUCAGUUUAAAUUUUGACCAAAAAUUCAUCUCAGGAAUAUGUUUUGGAAUAAUUCUUUGCUAUUAGUUAUAAAUGUGACAAAUAUCGUUUAAACAAUAAAAUAUUAUUUUAUACAACAAAUUAUGGCAACAAAUUCCUUGUAGUGAUAGAUUUUUUAAAAUCUUUAAAUCAUAGAUAGGGAUUUAUUAUGCUCCAUGUCAAUUAUAUGCAUGUUUGUGUGUAUAUGUGUGUAUAUGUGUGUGUAUAUAUAUUUCACUUAAUCUCUGAGAACAGUCUGAAUUUUUAUGUUUCUCUAUUGUAUAUAAUUGAAAAACAUAAGACAAAGAAAUCACUUAUUAGUACGUUGAUAGAUAAACGUGCUUGAUGCCAAAUAUAGACACACAAAAUACACUUAAUUCUUCUGUAAGAACUCUUAAACAUCUAUGAGAAACAUCUUAUCAAAUUGAUUUCCCCCUUUCUCCUUAGUAAAAAAAUCCUGACGUUUUUAGGUUGACACAAUGCCACUCAGCUAAACAAUGACAUUUCCCAGACUCCUUUGUGUUUAAGUGUGGCCGUAUAACUAGGUUGUGCCCAAAGACAAUUAAGUAUAACUGUUGGGUAUAAUUUUUCUGAAAAGUCUCCUUAAAAAUAUGACGGUUUUUCCUUGCUUUCUUUUUUUCCUUGUUAUUUAGAGUACGAGUAUUGUAUCUGUAGCUCCAGCAGCCAUCUUGGACCAGAAUAUGAUGGUCUGGAGAAUGUAAGCCAUGUGCAGAAUGAUACUUACAGACAAGGGACUGUGUACUUCAUUGAACCGUAAAGCUGCCAUAGUUGCCUUGGAUACUCUCCUUGUGGACACCUUUUAUGUGCAAGAAAAAUAAACUAUCUUGUUUAAGCCAUUGUUAUUUGUGGAAUU